UGCGGCACCGACGCCCGCCUCUCACGGGAGAGCCAAUCAGCGCCCGCCCAGUCCGCAGAGCGGGAGAAGCCGGAAGGCCUAGCCAGGGCCGAGGGCCCGCCGGGCACGGGCGCCCCAGGAGCGUCCCGGGCGGCCGCGGAUAGCGCGAAUGUCCCGCGGACGCUCCCAUGGUGGGGCCCGAGCCAGUGUCCGGCCGAGCGGCGCGCCCGGCGGCGCCGCCGCCUCGUUAGUCCUUAUUACGUCAUCAAAGCGCGCAUUAAAUCGAUCUUUUUUCGGAUCGCGGACAGGCCGCGGCCCGACGCCGCGCGCGCCCCGCGGGGCGAGGUGAAGGUUCCGCCUGGUACUCACCGCCAGGAGCCCUCCGCCCCGCCGCGCUCGCGCUGUUCUCGCUUCCUGCUGCCCGGCACGCUGCAAAGCGGGGCGGGCGCCGGCCAAUCGCGACUCGCAUUCCCGGCCUGCCUCGCGCGGCGGAAGUGGGAGCUGCGUCACCUGUCACACAGCGGCGCGGGCGGCGGGCAGAGGCGGCGGGAGCGGGGCGGCCCGGGGCGUGCUGGGAGCUGUAGUGCGGGCUGUGCCGCCCUGGGGCGUCGCGGCGUGCCGCAGCCUGGCCGCCAGGGCUCGCACUCGCGCGCGUGUGAACGACGGGGACGGGGGCGAGUGCGGCCCGAGCUGCACGAAGCCAGCGGGAUGUGUGUCUGGUCCCACACAGCACCGCCCCAAACCGGUCUGAGUGUGUUGUACUCUGCGUGCCCCGGGCAGCUGUUCAGUGCCGAAGAGCCUUUCCUUGCACCCCGCCCGGCCCUCACCUCUGCUCCCGCACAGCACGGCGUCGGCGAAGAGCCACCUGCCGCCGGCCGUGGCACCUGCGCGCCCUGCCGCGUCGCACCCAGCCCACCCCCGGCGGUCACUGUGACACCAGAAGGGGCUCGCCGCACGGGUAUUCUGUAUCCGUGUUCGAAACACACGCAGUGGGGAAGUUGCGGCAGUGCUGUUGAGCCGCGACAGGCCCGGCGUGCUCCCCAAGCCGCGUCGCAGCCGGGUUGGCUCUGCUGCCACUGCGCCGCAGGCAGCGUGUUCCUCUGCGCACAGCAGGAUAAGAACGCAACUCCUCAGAGCAGACGCAUUGUUCAUCCCUCCGACUGCCUUUUGAAGCACCUCGGUGACACUCAGGAAAGAUCUGUGUUCAUUAAGAUGACCUGAUGAUCCUUCUGGUCACAAUAUUUGGCGGAGUUUAGGAACAAUACUGACCCUCCUGCUCUGUGCUUUUCAUGGCAGAGAACAUUCAGCCAAUUCAGGAGCGUUGGCAGCUUUCCCUAGGGAGACCUGUAAAGCGUCAAACAGAGAACAAUGAACACUAAAUUAAUUACGGGAAAAUGUGAAUCAUUUUUUUUUUUCUUUCUGUAAGGGAAAAGUGCAAAUCAUAGAGUUCCUUUGUUUAACUAAAAAGCUCUCUUGUCUGAAGAAAUGAAGGAAUUAAUAAACUGCAGAUGUGAAACCAAGAAUUCAGAAUAUGUGCUUUUGGCAUGAUUGAAUAAAUAAUUAUUCUUGAAGGUGGUUAAUUUCAAUUAUAAAUGAAAGCCAACAGGGACCUUCAAAUCACAUAGUCCAAAGCUAUCCACCUAGCAGCCUGACCUGCGCACAGCUUGCUGGAGGUCCUGUCUGGCUCCCCAGGUGGUUUUGAAAGCUGUGUAGUAUACUGAUACACAGAUAUCCCACCACAUAGUCUGAAAUCAUGACCAAAAGAUUCACCUGGGGAGACAUAGCUGCGGUGUGGCCUUUUUCUGGCCUCAUAUAUACAAAAGUCUUAUGAAAUAACUGCUUAUUCCUGUAACAACAGCAAUCAUCUGAAAUAAAUCUUUUCUGUACAAGAAGUCUUAGUGUGUGUCCGUUGUACAAUGAGUUAUUCUGUGCAUGAAGAGGCUUUGCUGUCCUGCCUACAGCAAGCCAGAUGUAUACUAUUACGCAAGAGAAGAAGAUUUCUGUAGAGCCCUUUGACACGUAUGCAUAAUGAAACGAAACCUGUGGCUGUUUAUAUUUUGUAAAGGAAAAUAAAUAUGGGCUGUGCCUCCGAUAGCAUGAUAAAGAGCUCUUCUCUUGGUUCUCCUCACUCCAUUACUAUCUCAGGAAGGAAGG
ensembl:lncRNA